UACGUAGGGUGCAAGCGUUGUCCGGAAUUAUUGGGCGUAAAGAGCUCGUAGGCGGUUUGUCGCGUCGAAUGUGAAAACCCGGGGCUCAACCCCGGGCCUGCAUUCGAUACGGGCAGACUAGAGUUCGGUAGGGGAGUCUGGAAUUCCUGGUGUAGCGGUGAAAUGCGCAGGUAUCAGGAGGAACACCGGUGGUGUAGACGGCUUUCUGGACCGUAACUGACGCUGAGACACGAAAGCGUGGGUAGCAAACAGG
rnacentral:rRNA from 1 species